CGGUUGUUAUUGCUGUACUUUGUGGUGUUGUGAUUCACCAGUGCGGAUCGAAGAGCACCGUUUUCUCCAGCCCGGAUUCUACAAUUUGGAGAUGGUGUACAAGGCGAUGUGCAAGUGCAUUUCACACCUUGGGGAGCUGCAAGAUAUGCUUUCACAAUCCUUGCUGCAAGUGUUCAAAUAAAGGGUUUCAAGUUUCAGCA